CUGUGGAUAAUUGUGAAAAGAAAAUGCUUAGAUGGAAUAACCAGCUCAUAAAUGCAUUGAAUUCAAUGGUAGAGGACGCCAUCCACAAUACGCGAUAACAAUGUGAAGAGGAACGGUGCAGAUGGAAGACAGGUGAAACAAAAUCUCUGAUAAUGCCGGCUAUCGACGUCAAUUGAAUUACACCCUGGGGAUCAAUCAAUUAACUGCCGUAAUUGUAUGUAUAUUUCUGUAGAGUGAGAUUUACUGGGUGAUUGG